ACGCCGCGCCGCGCCGCGUCCCUCGCACUCCACCGCCGCGGCGGCGCCACCGCCCCGGGCUCGCCUCCCUCGCCGACCGACCGGCACCUUCUCAUCCUCACCGACUACCCGCCGGGCUCCUACCCGCGCCUACCCCGCUCGACGCGUUCCCGAACUCCUCUCGAGCCCACCACCGCCGCGGCGGCGGGAUCGGCGUCGGAUUCACGCACGCCGUCCAUGCCACCGAGCCGUGCGGUGCAGCCGCUCCCGCGUGUGAUCCUGCGCGGCCCGGUCGUGCACUGGAUGGAUCGCGUCGAAGCGUGGGCUGCCAUUGCCUGGCCUCGGGCGUGUGAUUUACCCGGGCAAAGUCGUCUUCUCUCACGAGGGCGCGGUUCUGUACGGCGCGCGACUGAAUUUCAGGGCAUGAUGCAUCAGUGACCAAUUUCUAGCACAAAGCUGCCCAGUUAUACAAUCUGCAGUUCUGCCCAGGCUGCAAACACUGGGGAACGUCAUCACAAGGGAAUGCUGGAUGGAACACCAGUUGCUGUAGACGGGCUGCACACGCAUCACAUCGGUCGUCCAACUCCAGUGUACGGCACAAGGCACAUGGGCGCCUGUCCUUGUGGAGCACGGCCAUUACAGGCUCAUGCUGAAACUAAGGCUAAGAUGAUCCAAUACCGCCCGGCCAGCAAAACAGUACUUCGAACUAAUUUGCACCUUGAGGGUGGAAGAAAAGGCAGAUGGCUGUUUCUCCGGCCGGCCAAGCUCCCACGUUCCAGGGCGAUGGGGAUUCUGCUGCACCAAUGUGCGUGCUGUUUACAUGGAAAGGUGUGCUCCUCCCAUCAACAGACAACAACCUUUGUUUUUAUGAAGCAUAGCAUCUUCCGUUAAAAGAUCACCCAGGUGCUUUUCUCUCGUGAAUAGAUCCUGUGUCCAUGUCAAGAUAUCAUGCAUGCCACUGCUGGAGAUCGUUAGUAUCUUUCCAAGACUAGGGAAGAAUAGUACUCCCUCCAUAAAGAAAUAUAAGAUCGUAUCACUAUUUUAGUGAUCUAUAUGAUCUUAUAUUUCUUAACAGAGGGAGUAGUUGGCAUCAGCUGUAAACGAAGCCACACAAUGACCAGCACCUGCAGCCCGAACCACAAUAUAUAGUUUGACUUGUUGUGUGCAUAAUAUCAUACAAAGACCGCGGGGGAUCACUCUUCUGUUGUCUCUAAAAAGGAUGGUUUAAUUUGAUGUGCUAUUUGUCAUCAGAUCAGAAUUUGCCGUAU